GACAGUUUGGCCGAGUGGUCUAAGGCGCUGGCUUCAGGCGCCUGUCCGGAAGGGCGUUGGUUCGAACCCCACAGCUGUUA
rnacentral:tRNA from 1 species